GACGAACCGUGCGAACGUUGUUCGGAAUCACUGGGCUUAAAGGGCGCGUAGGCGGGCUGUCAAGUCUGGGGUGAAAUCCCGCGGCUCAACCGUGGAACUGCCUUAGAUACUGACGGCCUCGAGGAAGGUAGGGGCAUGCGGAACUGUAGGUGGAGCGGUGAAAUGCGUUGAUAUCUACAGGAACUCCGGUGGCGAAAGCGGCGUGCUGGACCUUUUCUGACGCUGAGGCGCGAAAGCUAGGGGAGCAAACGGGG
rnacentral:rRNA from 1 species